UUUGUUUCUUUUCUCCUCGAACGUGAACAGGUCGCGUUUGAAAAGCUAGCUAGCUAAUAGUACACUGCUAAAUACAGGGAAUAUUUUUUCUUUAAUCGAGCUGGUGACCAUACAAGAUCUGAUGUUAUGAGACUCCAGUUCUAGAAGACUUGUGAAUAAACACAGCCCACUUGGCACACACUGAUUGAAUCGGUGUUGUUUUCACAUCAUUUUAAUUAAAUUACUUUGAACCACAUGGAAUAGACCUUGAAUUGACGUCUGUGCCCAGCGGGAGGAGAGCCCUCAAACUUGCGACAGCUCCAUUCAAUAGCUAGGUGUUAUUAUUGCUGUUUUUACCAAGAAACGUUCUAACUCAACAGACAAUAUGAGUCAAAGAAGGAACAUUGAUGGAUGAAAUCGAAAAGACUUUAUGGAAUUUAACUGAGGACAAUUUACGCUCCCUUUGUGAACGUUAUGGCCAAGAUGAAUCCAAAGUUAAAGGCAUGGAUCAUCGCUAUUAAGGCGUAAAGUCAUGGAGGAAAUGUGGGACAAUACGGAUUCAAUGAAAUCAGAGGAGCAGGGAAUGUCUUGGUUGGUCCGACUGAAAGACGACAUCAGGAGGAUACAGGAGGAUGGUAGUGGUGCACCCGCGAGUCCCAGCAAAGCCGAUGAUGAGAUCCUGUAGACGGCAUGAAAGAAUGGAAUGGAGAGGGAGGGGCUGGGUUACCUAGCAACAGGUUGGAGGUGGAGCCCAUGAGUCCCAGCCAAUCUGAUGAUGAUACGCUGCAGACUGUGACGCAGGGGACACGGAUUGGUUGCCUAGCAAUGGGCUGGAGGCGGAGUCCAUGAGUCCCAGCCAGUCCGAUGAUUGUGAUGCUGCAGACUGCGAUGAGGAAUUGGACAGGGAGGUCAGGGAUUGGAUGGUUUGCGAUGGGCUGGAGGUGGAGUUAUCCCCAGAGAGCACACACCAGAGCAGAAGGACAAGUGUCGCCCACGAAGACCCUGUGUCGUGCCUCUCCCGGUAGCGCCUUAAUUUGGGGUCUGAAGAGGGUGUCUGUGCAGCUGAUGGACUGCAGGAAAACACCAGGGCAGAAAACCUUCAAGAAACCACCCCUGUGCUCAGUGUGGGAAGAGUUUUGCCACAAAAGACAUUCUGGACGGACAUCUGCUAACUCACACUGGAGAGAAACAGAAAAAUAUAUGUGCUGAAUGUGG